rnacentral:tRNA from 1 species
UAACCUGAAGCUAGUAUGCCUCUAACUGUUAAUUAGAAGACAGCCAAUUUUGGCCUGGUUAA